ensembl:lncRNA
GACGCAGUAGACGGGACGCUGCGUGCCCCCACCCUUAAGUCCCGUUCGUCACUGGUUGUGGCCAGCAGCGCCUCUCAGUACAGCAUGGGCCGGGGGCAGAAUGUGGUUGUGGUGGGAAGGACUUCCAUAUCGGACUUAUUCCCAUUUGCAUCGAGGGGGUUUCAUGCACCGCCCUAGUGGACACAGGGUCAACGAUCACAUUGGAGGUGGUGCCAGUGGGUACACAGCUGGAGGACACAGCAGUUCAGCUCCGCACAGUAACUGGUGAGCUAGCACCAAUGAAAGGGAGAGGGCAGCUGAUAUUGACUGGGGGAAAUGAGACACACUGUGUGGGUAGCGGAAUUACAAGAUGCCUGUAUUUUAGGCUUGGACUUUUUGCGGGAGCAGGGGUCCAGGGCUGGUCCUUCUGCAGCCCCUGACCCCGAAGUGCCUUUUGUUCUGGACACAGACGCUAGCGGCGAUGCAGUGGGGGCAGUCCUAUCACAGGCAUGGCCGGAAGGAGAGAGGGUUGUGGCCUACUACAGCAAAGCCCUGAAUAAAGCUGAGCGGCGGUAUUGCGUCACACGUAGGGAGCUGCUUGCUGUCGUCUUUUCCGCACUGCAUUUUAAGUACUACCUGUGUGGCCGCCCCUUCACUGUACGCACUGAUUAUGCCUCACUGCAGUGGCUGAUGACAUUCCAAGAGCCUGAGGGACAGCUGGCUCGUUGGCUGGAGGAGCUGCAAGGCUACGAGUUCAGCGUGGUUCACCGUGCUGGAGAACGGCAUGGCAACGCUGACGCACUGUCCCGUCGACCCUGCAGUGAAGACGACUGCCGGUAUUGUGACCGCAGAAAGGUCAGAGAACAGCAGCUGGUUCUGGGGCCAAACAAGCAGGACAGAGAGGAGUGUGAAGACUGUCGGGGCUUGUAGAGAGCUGCUGGUGGUGGACAAUGCUAUCUGGGCCGCGGAACAGCAACAAGACCCGGUCGUGCAGCCAGUGAUGCUGUGGGUGGAGGCGCGGCAGCGGCCGCCCUGCGAGGAGGUGGCCGCUCUCUCCCCAUGGACAAAAGGGCUGUGGGCUAAAUCUAAUUCUUUGCAGCUGGCUGAUGGGGUCCUUCAGCGGGCAUGGUUGGAACCAGGGUCGGGAGAGAAAAAGUGGCAGGCGGUGGUACCCAGAGGGAUGCAGGGGCUGUUCUCGAAGCCAUGCAUGGCUCUGCAGGCUCCGGUCACUUUGGGGUGACCAAUACACUCCUGCGGGUCUGUCAAGCCUUCUAUUUGGGGCGGCUGAGGAGAGACGUUGAAGACUUUUGUCGGUGCUGUGAUCUCUGCACUGCCUGCAAAGGACCACAGGGCCAGUCCAGGGCUCAGCUACAGCAGUUUCCAGUGGGGGGGCCCAUGCAGCGGCUGGGGGUAGACGUUCUGGGCCUUCUCCCACUCACAGGCCCGGACUACGCCAGGCGGCUGCAGGACUGCUUGGACUCUGCACAUGCGUAGUGCGGGCGUGCGACAAAAGAGGAAUUAUGACGUCCGGGCCAAGGGCCGACACUUUGCGGCUGGGGAGCUGGUGUGGACAUACACUCCUGAAUGGAAGAAAGGCAGGUGCCCUAAGCUGGAAAGCCACUGGGUGGGACCGUGUCUGGUCCUGGAGCGGCUGGGAGAGGUUGUCUACCGGGUGCAGAUGCCUGGCAGGGGGCGCUGGGUGGCGUUACACCGGGACAGGCUGGCACCCCUCAGACAGCUGGAGGAGAGGAAGAAACGCCUUGGGUGACUGUCGUGGCAUCACCUAACCUAAUGGCAUUUGCUCUGGCGAUGCUCUUUAUCGAGAACCAGAUCCAGAGGCUGGAGGAGUCGAGAGCCAAACUCGGUACAUCAUCAGCAGAUCAGAGAUGUACAAGUCCAGGAUGGAGGGCAGUCUUGUGGCAAUCAUUCUCUCUGCGCACCUGAUGAUUCCGUUGUAGUCUGUGGUCUUGUUUGGUGGCCAAUCCAAACCACACAGCGAUGGAAGAACAGGGAGUAGACAUGAUGGGAGAGUAGAAGAAGCCCCCCCGGUAUGAUGGUGUUCAAUACAGAGCUAAAGUCCACAAACAAACAGAUCCCCCAACACCAGCUUCUCCAAAGUUUCAUCACCAUAGACGGACGAUGGGCCUGUAGUCAUUUAAUCCCAUGACGGUGGAGCGUUCGAAGCACGAGGGGACUUCACACAGCUCGAGUGAUUGGUUGAAGAUCAGCGUGAAGAUGGGGCGACAAUGGUGACACAUCAAAUAAUAAAAAGAAAGUAGUAUUAGUCAAACUAUUUAUCUAUAUACUUAUAUACUGUUGUAUAUCUUUACACAUGGGGCGGGGGCGUUACAUAUUUAUUUUAUGUUUUCUUUCUGGGAUACAUUGACCAUAAAAGCAAUCUCUACGUGGAUCCACUUUUUGUACAAUGUAGUUCUUUUUCUUUUUUUUAAACAAAUAACUAUGUAUGAUGUGUUAAAAUUGUGCAAUGUCAUCAUCCGUUGAUAGGACAAACUAUGUAACAAUAGGGUCAACUAACAAGAACGGAUGCACUGGUGAUCAUGUCAUGUGACACGGUGUAAUUCUUUUUGGGAAAUAUUCUACAGAGAUCGCCUAUCACCUUUUUCAGCACAAUGACAAUGUUAAUUUUGUGUUAACAAAUGAAUCAGUAAUAUCACACUAUCAAACUUUAGUAUUGGUCCACAACUACCUGGUUGAAGAACAUGACUUACUUUUCUCAAUAGAUCUUUCAAGAGAAGACAAUAUAGCUGCUAAAAUGUCAGUUCUGUCUUCAUUAAAUAACCUCUUAAUAGAUUCUUAUCAAUAAUAAUUUAUUCUACAUUUGUACCCGUUUUUCUGCUUCAAAUCCUCAUUCAGUUUAAAUCUGAACACCCACACCCCCCCCCCCAUACCCCCUCG